UACGGAGGGUGCAAGCGUUAUCCGGAUUCACUGGGUUUAAAGGGUGCGUAGGUGGGUUGGUAAGUCAGUGGUGAAAUCCCCGAGCUUAACUUGGGAACUGCCAUUGAUACUAUCAGUCUUGAAUACCGUGGAGGUCAGCGGAAUAUGUCAUGUAGCGGUGAAAUGCUUAGAUAUGACAUAGAACACCAAUUGCGAAGGCAGCUGGCUACACGAAUAUUGACACUGAGGCACGAAAGCGUGGGGAUCAAACAGG
rnacentral:rRNA from 2 species